rnacentral:rRNA from 1 species
CCUACGGGAGGCAGCAGUGAGGAAUAUUGGUCAAUGGACGAGAGCCUGAACCAGCGAAGUCGCGUGAAGGAUGACUGCCCUAUGGGUUGUAAACUUCUUUUAUAAAGGAAUAAAACGAGGCAAGUGUGCCUUUUUGAAUGUACUUUAUGAAUAAGAAUCGGCUAACUCCGUGCCAGCAGCCGCGGUAAUACGGAGGAUCCGAGCGUUAUCCGGAUUGAUUGGGCUUAAAGGGAGCGUAGAUGGGUUGUUAAGUCAGUUGUGAAAGAUUGCGGCUCAACCGUAAGAUUGCUAUUGAUACUGUCAGUCUUGAGUACAGUUGAGGUAGGCGGAAUUCGUGGUGUAGCGGUGAAAUGCUUAGAUAUCACGAAGAACCCCGAUAGCGAAGGCAGCUUACUAAACUGUGACUGACAUUGAUGCUCGAAAGUGUGGGUAUCAAACAGGAUUAGAUACCCUAGUAGUC